ACAUAAUCCGGAUAACAUAGGUAACAAAAGAAACAGGGAACGUAUAUGAAGUCAUAUUAAAAUUUUAGAAAAAAAAGUUUUCAAGAUAUCAACCUGGAUUCUAUUAUACAAACAAAGAGUCGUGGAAACUCACUUCCUCAAAGGAAUAACUUUCAAAUUCCAUCAGCUUUAGCUCAUUCUGCCACAGAGAUCAAAUCUUUUGCGAUGUGCCACCCUUAUUGGUCUCCCCAUAAAACGAAUAGAUGUCCUUGAGGUCGAUCAUAGCAGCGACAGUACUGAAACGGUUUUGAAAUAUCUCGACACCCCGGCCUGUUUGGAGCGACUUCUCAACAAGCUCUGAGUAUGUGAACAUCUAUUCGUUUGAGAAUUCAAAAGUUGAACUGCUUUUCGUAAAGCUAUUGUUUGCUUGCACUCCAUCUUUGGUAAGGAUGUGCAUUCAGCAGGUCAAACAUACUAUUUUUCUGUUUUUUUCUAUUUGGGAUUAAUGUUCGCGAUGAUGAAUCGCAUUUUGUUUUGUUUUCCUUAGGCAGUAGUAAUGAAACCUGCAUCUCAAUAGCUAUGGCGUGUCAUCUAUUGUUUUGAUUUAUCUGUGUUUCUCUCUUUUAUUUUAUAGACUAAACUUGCUAAGUCAAUGUUGCUUCCUGGUGAAGCAUAUCUUAUGUAUGUGAGUUUACAUGAGUGUUUACGGUCAAAAUCGGUUUUGCCCUUCGUGUAAUUAGUCAAGAUUGGAACAUGAUGGACCAAGGGUCGUCUUCAUAAUAUCGAGAUGAGAUCCGACACCAGGAUAUCAAAUUCAAGAUUCAGGGACCGAUCAAUACCGAGCUCAAAGUCAAUAUCGAGCUCGAGUCAAUACCGAGCCCGAAUCGAUAUCGAGUUCGAGUCAAUACCGAGCCCGGGUCAAUAUCGAGCCCGAGUCAAUACCGAGCCCGAGUCAAUAUCGAGCUCGAGUCGAUAUUGAGCUCGAGAUCCGAUAUCGAUCAGUACCAAGACCAACCAAGAUCGAGCUAUGAGACAAAGAGCCAUUGUAGCCGCACUUAGGGAGAGAAUCUCGGCGGGAAUCAAGGAAAAGUUAAUUAAUUAAUCUAUCAUGAGAUCUCCACUAUGUAUUUUUUUAUUAUAUCCAAAGCAAGAUUUUUUCACUAUAUUAAGAGUGAGUAUCAUUUCUAAAA